GUACAAGGUUCCGUAGGUGACCUGCGGAAGGAUCAUUACCGAUUUUAGCGUGCCUGGUCGUUGACCAUGGUCUCGCGAAAUUUUGUAUUUAAAACCCACACUUGAAUAAUUUUUUUAAAUCAUAUUUUAUGAUAAAAAUAAAGAUCACUUUCAACAACGGAUCUCUUGGCUCUCGCAUCGAUGAAGAACGUAGCGAAGUGCGAUAAGUAAUGUGAAUUGCAGAAUUCCGUGAGUCAUCGAAUCUUUGAACGCAAAUUGCACUCUCUGGUAUUCCGGGGAGUAUGCCUGUUUGAGGGUCAGUUWAAAUAAAAAUCGAUGUGUCGCWUUUGUGACGCUUCGGAAUUGGGUCAUCUUGAUCUCUGGGUUUAGGGACCUAAAAUUGAUACCUUUCCGAGCAUYUUGGACGUACGUAACCUYUCAAGUGCCGGAUCUUUUACUAGGUAUGAUCAUGCUUCGCGUGGCCUCGUACCUAUAACGUGUACUCAUAUUUUGACCUCAAAUCAGGUAGGAACACCCGCUGAACUUAAGCAUAUCAAU
rnacentral:rRNA from 1 species